rnacentral:lncRNA from 1 species
AAUCAUCACGGAGGAUAGUGAUCAAUCCAUUUGAAAUCGGUGCACGGUUCACCUUCUUUGUAGGCAGAUGAGUCUUGAGUCUGUGGUGUAGAGAUACUGGGAUGAAGGUGCAGAUGGUUGUUAGAGAACAACUUGCACUGAGCGUGACCAACACAAAAGCCACAUGGAUGUCUACUCACUCGUCAGUGAUCUUCUCGAUGCUGCAGUGGUAUGAGUGGUCCUUUGACCUGUGAUAAUAUUUGCUAUUCGCAGCGAGGCUACUGAGUUUGACUACACGUUUUCUUGAUCUCUAGCCAUUCGAAUUCUUGUUGUGUAUGUUGGCUUCAGUAGGUUUAGGUUCGCUGUUUGGAGUAAGAUGCACCUAGAUGGAAUUUAUCGACCUUGGUAGAAAAAAAGAAGUCUUAUAUGAUUUAUGAGAUCAAGUUCAGAAAGUUUUUGGCCA